UCGGGGUACUCGAGUGGCGAACGGGUGAGUAACACGUGGGUGAUCUGCCCUGCACUUUGGGAUAAGCCUGGGAAACUGGGUCUAAUACCGAAUAGGACCACGCGCUUCAUGGUGUGUGGUGGAAAGCUUUUGCGGUGUGGGAUGGGCCCGCGGCCUAUCAGCUUGUUGGUGGGGUAAUGGCCUACCAAGGCGACGACGGGUAGCCGGCCUGAGAGGGUGACCGGCCACACUGGGACUGAGAUACGGCCCAGACUCCUACGGGAGGCAGCAGUGGGGAAUAUUGCACAAUGGGCGCAAGCCUGAUGCAGCGACGCCGCGUGAGGGAUGACGGCCUUCGGGUUGUAAACCUCUUUCAAUAGGGACGAAGCGCAAGUGACGGUACCUAUAGAAGAAGCACCGGCCAACUACGUGCCAGCAGCCGCGGUAAUACGUAGGGUGCGAGCGUUGUCCGGAAUUACUGGGCGUAAAGAGCUCGUAGGUGGUUUGUCGCGUUGUUCGUGAAAACUCACAGCUUAACUGUGGGCGUGCGGGCGAUACGGGCAGACUAGAGUACUGCAGGGGAGACUGGAAUUCCUGGUGUAGCGGUGGAAUGCGCAGAUAUCAGGAGGAACACCGGUGGCGAAGGCGGGUCUCUGGGCAGUAACUGACGCUGAGGAGCGAAAGCGUGGGGAGCGAACAGGAUUAGAUACCCUGGUAGUCCACGCCGUAAACGGUGGGUACUAGGUGUGGGUUCCUUCCUUGGGAUCCGUGCCGUAGCUAACGCAUUAAGUACCCCGCCUGGGGAGUACGGCCGCAAGGCUAAAACUCAAAGGAAUUGACGGGGGCCCGCACAAGCGGCGGAGCAUGUGGAUUAAUUCGAUGCAACGCGAAGAACCUUACCUGGGUUUGACAUGCACAGGACGCCGGCAGAGAUGUCGGUUCCCUUGUGGCCUGUGUGCAGGUGGUGCAUGGCUGUCGUCAGCUCGUGUCGUGAGAUGUUGGGUUAAGUCCCGCAACGAGCGCAACCCUUGUCCUAUGUUGCCAGCGGGUUAUGCCGGGGACUCGUAGGAGACUGCCGGGGUCAACUCGGAGGAAGGUGGGGAUGACGUCAAGUCAUCAUGCCCCUUAUGUCCAGGGCUUCACACAUGCUACAAUGGCCGGUACAAAGGGCUGCGAUGCCGUGAGGUGGAGCGAAUCCUUUCAAAGCCGGUCUCAGUUCGGAUCGGGGUCUGCAACUCGACCCCGUGAAGUCGGAGUCGCUAGUAAUCGCAGAUCAGCAACGCUGCGGUGAAUACGUUCCCGGGCCUUGUACACACCGCCCGUCACGUCAUGAAAGUCGGUAACACCCGAAGCC
rnacentral:rRNA from 1 species